AUUGAACGCUAGCGGCAUGCCUUACACAUGCAAGUCGAACGGCAGCACGGGGCAACCUGGUGGCGAGUGGCGAACGGGUGAGUAAUGUAUCGGAACGUGCCCAGUAUCGGGGGAUAACUACGCGAAAGCGUAGCUAAUACCGCAUACGCCCUACGGGGGAAAGGGGGGGAUCGCAAGACCUCUCACUAUUGGAGCGGCCGAUAUCGGAUUAGCUAGUUGGUGAGGUAAAGGCUCACCAAGGCUUCGAUCCGUAGCUGGUUUGAGAGGACGACCAGCCACACUGGGACUGAGACACGGCCCAGACUCCUACGGGAGGCAGCAGUGGGGAAUUUUGGACAAUGGGGGCAACCCUGAUCCAGCAAUGCCGCGUGUGCGAAGAAGGCCUUCGGGUUGUAAAGCACUUUUGGCGGGAAAGAAACGGUGCCGAAUAAUACCUGGCGCCACUGACGGUACCCGCAGAAUAAGCACCGGCUAACUACGUG
rnacentral:rRNA from 1 species